UAUGCCCUCAUCAGACUGGCAAAACAUUUCAAGUCUAGCAAUAUCAAGCACAGGCAACAAAGUAGAGAAACAAAGCACUUAUCCAGUGCCAAUGAGUGUGAAAAUUAACACAACCGAUUCUGGCAUUACCUAGUAAAGUGGAAAUGGGCAUGAACUAUGACUCUGCAAUUCCACUCCAAGGAUUAUAUCCUAGGGCAGGGGUCCCCAACCCUCAGGCCACGGACUGGUACCAGUCCAUGGCCUGUUAGGAACCAGACCCACAGCAGGUGAGCUGCAGGCAAGCAGGCAAAGCUUCAUCUGUAUUUACAGCCGCUACCCAUUACCCAUUACCGCCUGAGCUCUGCCUCCAGUCAGAUCAGCGGCGGCAUUAGAUUCUCAUAGGAGCAAGAACCCUAUGUAAACUGCGCAUGCAAGGGAUCUAGGUUGCAUGUUCCUGAUGAGAAUCGAAUGCCUGAUGAUCUGUCACUGUCUCCCAUCACCCACAGAUGAGACCAUCUAGCUCCAGGAAAACAAGCUUGGGCUCCCACUGAUUCUACAUUAUGGAGAGAAGCUGGCUGAGAUGGAGCACACAGCUGACAGCUAGCAACUGCAACAAGCAUAACAAUCAUAAUCACAAAUGCAGGGGCAGGGGUGGGGGAGUGAAGAGUGUGGAAUCGAAGGUCAGGCCAGACUCACCAGAGGAAAAGAUAUUAGCUCAUCUGAAUUCAUAGCACUCAGCUGCUUCUUGGAGAUGGGGAAACUUGGAGGCAGGAAGUACCGUAAACAAUUCCUAAAGAAGGCAGGGAUAGUAAUUCAGAAUGGCAUGGAGCAGGCAGAGAGCUGCUGCUGGCCCUGGGGUGGGAAGACAAAAGACACAUGUACCGGAGGAUCUGGACAAGCAGGUCGAUGGUCUCGUGAUUGGUGCUCAGGGCAGUGGUGUCAGGCUCAAUGCGGAGGCAUUCGGAAGUGGAGGGCUCUGCCACAGCUAUGGCCUGCUGGGCCACAGGGCCCACCUCCUCCUCCCCGCCCUCCUGUUGUGUAUCAAGGCUCUGAUGUUCCGGAGAAGGGGGUUUCAUCAGCCGCACAUCCUCACUGCCUUUCUCCACCCUGUGGAAGACACACAGCUUAUGUUAUGUCUGACCCGGGCUCCCAGGAUGGGCUGCUGGCAGGGAGGCCGGGGAUACCUCUUUCGAGGAACCACUGCUCCUCCCUGAUUGGGGCAUUACCAGCGGUCUCUUGGUGUCGUGUCUGUGGGCACGUAGUCAAACUUCACCUUCCACCGCACCACAUGCUUGCCCACCUCCACGGCUGUGACACGGCCCGUGUACCACUCCCUGUUCACACGCACCUCCACGUGAAGCCCUUUAUCUGACAAUGUAGACAGAGGUGCGAGUCAGAAAACUAGCCUAGAGUCCCUCACUUGGCCUGGGCCACAUCGAGAAAGGCAGUCCCCAGGGUUUGGAGGACAGGAACACUUAGGUCCUUGCCCCCACUACACCAGGGACACAGAGACCAGGGACCAGCCACCAUGGUCUCCUUCCCCAUCUGUUAUGAGGGUGCCAAAAAGCAGGAGAACAAGUGACCGCCAGGAGUGAACACCAAGGAAUUAGUGUUAAAAAUAACCACAAAGGGGUGAUCCCUUCAGAAUUCUGCUUGGGAUUAGACUUGGAUCCACUGCUGCACAAGAGCCCAGACCCAGGACAGAUUCAAUGAGCCUUUGGUAAAUUGCUGCUGGUAAGGGGCUCCACUUCCACUCCCACUCCCACCCCCGCCACAGGCUGCCAAGUCACUCCCCCAGCUCACCUUUCUGAGCUCUCUUGAGGUCAGCCGAGUCCUCUUCCCCAGCACUGUCUGAGAGCUGCGUGGAGAGCAGUCUAUUAGAGGCAUCCCCAGUGCCCCCCAAGAGCAGACUUGUGCCUUACUGGCCACCCGGAGUCAUCAGCCAUCAUCUUCACGACUUCCUGUGCUACAGUUUAAAUCACCAAGCCCCGUUGAGAGCCACACUCCAAAAUCACUGUCCAAGGUACCUACCCUUCUGCUACCUUUAUGAACAAGACAGCAGGCAAGGGACAUGUGUUUCAAGCCUCACUGAUGUACGUCUGUGUGACUUCAGGCCUGUGGUUAAGCCAGAAGCCAGUCUCACUCAAGACCCUACCUGGCACCAUGUUUAGUCACUUGUGUAACUGAGAGUCCUUGAGAGAUCACUUGGCUUCUGGAAGGCUCAUGACACGAAUAUAAACAGAGUUGGUGCAGACUGCUGGUUGGGGGGGUAGACUGCUGGUGGGUUGUGUAGACUGCUGGUGGGUGGUAUAGACUGCUGAUGGGGGGUGCAGACUGCUGGUGGGGGCUGCAGGCCCUAGAGAGGGAGGCUUUGAGAACCUCACCUCAACCACUCACCUCAUUCGAGUCCUUCUUUUCCUCCUUCACAACAAAUCUGCCCCGCUUGCACCUCUCCUUCCUCCUCUCAGCUUCCUCCUCAACUUCUUCCUCAUCAGAAACUGCAACACUCCGCUUCCGACUAGGGGUAGCCUAGAGCAAGAGGAGCGUGAGGAUGUGAGGGGCCCUGUUCAGCCUCUAAGGAGCAGGAAGAUUUCAUCUAGCCUAAAGGAGCCGUUCCAAGAGGAGCUGUACUCCCUGCAAUCCCUGCCUGACAUUACUUGGAAUGUACACAGGCAACCCACUGGCCCCUGCGCCAUAAGGAUUUUUGCUCAAAGCUGUCAUAGGAGAAGCUUCUCAAUUCCCUUCCCACCUUAGUCUACCUGGCCAACUAGCUGUCACCUCCCCAAGAACCACCGACCACUGCCGCAGCCCACUCAGGCUAUCUGUCACCAGAUGACUGGCCUAAGCCCACACUUCGAGAGCCAGUGGAGGUGACUCAAGUUUGUGGCAGACCAAAACUCGGAGGGAACAGUGAAGAGCUCGCUGUACAGGCAACCGAUGUGCUGUCUGGCCCCGAACAAGUCCGUUCAGCUAUCAAGGCUUCCCGUCCUCAGGGGCAGCAGCAAAGCUUUAGAUUCAGUAUCCUCCCAAGGCUCCCCUAGUACAGCUGUGACACUGCACAAUUCCAUUCCUACACUACUGACACUGGGCUGGGGUAUUAAAGAGGACAAGCGUCUCACCGGGGAGAGUUUGAUGGGUGACUCUGUCUUCUUCACCACUGGAGUCUUGAUGACUUUGGGAGAAGGAACCUCCCGAGGGCUCUUGGAGUUGGGCAGUAAAGAUGGUGACAGUUGCUGCACCAGAGGGACAGGUCGGGAUGCAGUCUUGACAAGAGUGUUGGCAGGCUUUCGGGGUGCCUCAGGUGGCUGGAGCAGCCUGGAUGUGCUGGCCUCCUCCCGGGCUGCCAAAGCAGGGAGCUUUGGGGUACUGCUGAUGACAGGAGCCUUUCGGGGCUGGCUGGCUGGUCUAGGAGUUGGCAAAGAAGGGGGUCUGCUGGGGGCGUUCCUGAUCACAGCAGGUAAAGGGGGCGACCGAGGACGCUGAGGUCUACGCACAGGUUCCUAAAAAAAGGCCCACAGAGAGUGAGAACACUGAUCCUAGCAUGAGACACCUGAGGAAAAGCCCUUCCCAGGCCCCUGGACUUCACCUCAGUGGAAGGUCUGGUGGUCACUUCCAAGGGCAAUUUCUUCAGGUCUGCUUGGGAGCGGAUGGGUGUGGUUUUCUGCAAGGCAAACAUCAUGAUGAAGUUGUUUGCAUAUUUUAGUAUACUUGAGCAAACUUUUUGGAUAGUGUCUGGAACCAGGGACAAAAAAAAUAGAAAACCUGAGCCAUAGUCCUACUCUUACAAACCUCCCGUUCUCACUGGGGAGACACAAAAUACAUAAAUACUCAACUAUCAGCAAAUUACAGGAAACUGUGUGAUUAAUCCAGCAACUGAGAGACUGGCAAAAAGUGUCAAUAGACUAAAUUCCUAUAAAAGGAACCCAAAAAGGGAGAAAGGGCCCGAUGGAUAGGGAAAACCUGGAUGAAGGCAGAAAGGAAAGGUGGGAUUUAGCAGCUAGGGAGGCAUGCAUAAAACAUCAUGGGUUAGUAAGAGCACAUCUGCACAGACACAGAAGCCAAAAAGGGAAAUGGUUGUGUACUAAAUAUGAUAAACAGCUGAUAUCACAGACAUAUCUAGAAAAAAACAUAGAAAAAAUAAAAAUGUAAGUGAAUAAGCAGUUUAAAAGGAAUAAAAGUGGACACAUGAAAAAUUAGGCAAUCUUAGAAAUAUUAAGGAAAUUAAAUUAUAAAACAUGCAUCUUUGCCUAUGAAAUUUGCAACAACAUUUAAAAAUAAUGCUCUCAUAUACUGCUGGUAAAUAAUAGAAAUUAACACAUCUCUG
rnacentral:lncRNA from 1 species